rnacentral:rRNA from 1 species
AGACCCGAAACCCGGUGAUCUAGCCAUGGGCAGGUUGAAGGUUGGGUAACACUAACUGGAGGACCGAACCGACUAAUGUUGAAAAAUUAGCGGAUGACCUGUGGCUGGGGGUGAAAGGCCAAUCAAACCGGGAGAUAGCUGGUUCUCCCCGAAAGCUAUUUAGGUAGCGCCUCGUGAAUUCAUCUCCGGGGGUAGAGCACUGUUUCGGCUAGGGGGCCAUCCCGGCUUACCAACCCGAUGCAAACUGCGAAUACCGGAGAAUGUUAUCACGGGAGACACACGGCGGGUGCUAACGUCCGUCGUGAAGAGGGAAACAACCCAGACCGCCAGCUAAGGUCCCAAAGUCAUGGUUAAGUGGGAAACGAUGUGGGAAGGCCCAGACAGCCAGGAUGUUGGCUUAGAAGCAGCCAUCAUUUAAAGAAAGCGUAAUAGCUCACUGGUCGAGUCGGCCUGCGCGGAAGAUGUAACGGGGCUAAACCAUGCACCGAAGCUGCGGCAGCGACACUCAGGUGUUGUUGGGUAGGGGAGCGUUCUGUAAGCCUGCGAAGGUGGCCUGUGAGGGUUGCUGGAGGUAUCAGAAGUGCGAAUGCUGACAUAAGUAACGAUAAAGCGGGUGAAAAGCCCGCUCGCCGGAAGACCAAGGGUUCCUGUCCAACGUUAAUCGGGGCAGGGUGAGUCGACCCCUAAGGCGAGGCCGAAAGGCGUAGUCGAUGGGAAACGGGUUAAUAUUCCCGUACUUGGUGUUACUGCGAAGGGGGGACGGAGAAGGCUAUGUUGGCCGGGCGACGGUUGUCCCGGUUUAAGCGUGUAGGUGUGUGUUCCAGGUAAAUCCGGUUCACUUUAACACUGAGGCGUGAUGACGAGGCACUACGGUGCUGAAGCAACAAAUGCCCUGCUUCCAGGAAAAGCCUCUAAGCAUCAGGUAACAUCAAAUCGUACCCCAAACCGACACAGGUGGUCAGGUAGAGAAUACCAAGGCGCUUGAGAGAACUCGGGUGAAGGAACUAGGCAAAAUGGUGCCGUAACUUCGGGAGAAGGCACGCUGACACGUAGGUGAAGUGAUUUACUCAUGGAGCUGAAGUCAGUCGAAGAUACCAGCUGGCUGCAACUGUUUAUUAAAAACACAGCACUGUGCAAACACGAAAGUGGACGUAUACGGUGUGACGCCUGCCCGGUGCCGGAAGGUUAAUUGAUGGGGUCAGCGCAAGCGAAGCUCCUGAUCGAAGCCCCGGUAAACGGCGGCCGUAACUAUAACGGUCCUAAGGUAGCGAAAUUCCUUGUCGGGUAAGUUCCGACCUGCACGAAUGGCGUAAUGAUGGCCAGGCUGUCUCCACCCGAGACUCAGUGAAAUUGAACUCGCUGUGAAGAUGCAGUGUACCCGCGGCAAGACGGAAAGACCCCGUGAACCUUUACUAUAGCUUGACACUGAACAUUGAGCCUUGAUGUGUAGGAUAGGUGGGAGGCUUUGAAGUGUGGACGCCAGUCUGCAUGGAGCCGGCCUUGAAAUACCACCCUUUAAUGUUUGAUGUUCUAACGUGGACCCGUGAUCCGGGUUGCGGACAGUGUCUGGUGGGUAGUUUGACUGGGGCGGUCUCCUCCUAAAGAGUAACGGAGGAGCACGAAGGUUGGCUAAUCCUGGUCGGACAUCAGGAGGUUAGUGCAAUGGCAUAAGCCAGCUUGACUGCGAGCGUGACGGCGCGAGCAGGUGCGAAAGCAGGUCAUAGUGAUCCGGUGGUUCUGAAUGGAAGGGCCAUCGCUCAACGGAUAAAAGGUACUCCGGGGAUAACAGGCUGAUACCGCCCAAGAGUUCAUAUCGACGGCGGUGUUUGGCACCUCGAUGUCGGCUCAUCACAUCCUGGGGCUGAAGUAGGUCCCAAGGGUAUGGCUGUUCGCCAUUUAAAGUGGUACGCGAGCUGGGUUUAGAACGUCGUGAGACAGUUCGGUCCCUAUCUGCCGUGGGCGCUGGAGAACUGAGGGGGGCUGCUCCUAGUACGAGAGGACCGGAGUGGACGCAUCACUGGUGUUCGGGUUGUCAUGCCAAUGGCACUGCCCGGUAGCUAAAUGCGGAAGAGAUAAGUGCUGAAAGCAUCUAAGCACGAAACUUGCCCCGAGAUGAGUUCUCCCUGAGACUUAG